AGUGAACGCUGGCGGUAGGCCUAACACAUGCAAGUCGAACGGCAGCACAGUAAGAGCUUGCUCUUACGGGUGGCGAGUGGCGGACGGGUGAGGAAUACAUCGGAAUCUACUUUUUCGUGGGGGAUAACGUAGGGAAACUUACGCUAAUACCGCAUACGACCUACGGGUGAAAGCAGGGGAUCUUCGGACCUUGCGCGAUUGAAUGAGUCGAUGUCGGAUUAGCUAGUUGGCGGGGUAAAGGCCCACCAAGGCGACGAUCCGUAGCUGGUCUGAGGGGAUGAUCAGCCACACUGGAACUGAGACACGGUCCAGACUCCUACGGGAGGCAGCAGUGGGGAAUAUUGGACAAUGGGCGCAAGCCUGAUCCAGCCAUACCGCGUGGGUGAAGAAGGCCUUCGGGUUGCAAAGCCCUUUUGUUGGGAAAGAAAAGCAGCAGGUUAAUACCCCGCUGUUCUGACGGUACCCAAAGAAUAAGCACCGGCUAACUUCGUG
rnacentral:rRNA from 1 species